CGCGAUUCGCCCUUCGGGGUGCCCAGGCGCGAAAACUUUACAAUGCUGGAAACCGUGAUAAGGGAACUCUGAGUGCCCGUAAAAUCGGGCUGUCCAUCAGUUUAAAUAACUGGUGAAGAAAGGGCCGGGCAAGACCGGUGCCAGCCGCCGCCGUAAUACCGGCGGCUCGAGCGGUGGCCACUAUUACUGGGCUUAAAGCGUUCGCAGCUGGUUUGUUAAGUCUCUGGGGAAAUCUUCCGGCUUAACCGGAAGGCGUCUCAUGGAUACUGGUAGACUAGGUACCGGGAGAGGUGAGGGGUACUUCAGGGGUAGGAGUGAAAUCCUGUAAUCCUUGAGGGACCACCUGUGGCGAAGGCGCCUCACCAGAACGGCUCCGACAGUGAGGGACGAAAGCUGGGGGAGCAAACCGGAUUAGAUACCCGGGUAGUCCCAGCUGUAAACGAUGCGCGUUAGGUGUAUCGGUGACCACGAGUCACCGAGGUGCCGAACAGAAAUCGUGAAACGUGCCGCCUGGGAAGUACGGUCGCAAGGCUGAAACUUAAAGGAAUUGGCGGGGGAGCAC
rnacentral:rRNA from 1 species